rnacentral:lncRNA from 1 species
CAUGUACAACAGCUAUUUUGAUGUAGUUCUCUCUUACAUAAAAUCAUCCUCCCUCAUCUCUUUCAUUGAAUUCCUGAGUAAAUGCUAUCAGCUUCUCAAAAUUCAGCGAGUUAUCAAUGAGGUCUUGUCCAUCACUGCACAGGAAAUUGCAUUUCUGGCUUCGGUAUUUGAUGAAAACGUUUCUGUCUUCGGUGUGCAAAUGGAGAUGCUGCUGUUGGAGUUUAGCCCACGGGAGUGUCAUACAGCUGCAAAGGAGAGGAUGGACUCAAAGCAUCACUGCGCAGUGCGACUGCUGAGCCCGUGGGGUGAAAGCAUGCUGGAUUGGAGAUGCUGGAAGAAAGCACAAGCAGUCCUUCAAGAUGAGGUAGGAGGGAUGGCAGUAACAGAAGAGCACAGCUGAAUCUCAAGAUCUCAAGCAAAGACAGCAGGAGUCUGAGCAUUUAAAUAUGCCUUCGCCAUGCUGGAGCAUUCCAAGCAGUGUGUUCUUCAAGUUUGCAAAAUGAGCCUGGCGCACAGACAACUUCAAACGUAGCAUUUUAAUGACACUUAGAGCAUCUCAGAG